GACGAACGCUGGCGGCGUGCUUAACACAUGCAAGUCGAACGGUAAGGCCCUUCGGGGUACACGAGUGGCGAACGGGUGAGUAACACGUGGGUGAUCUGCCCUGCACUUCGGGAUAAGCCUGGGAAACUGGGUCUAAUACCGGAUAGGACCCUGGGAUGCAUGUCCUGGGGUGGAAAGCUUUUGCGGUGUGGGAUGGGCCCGCGGCCUAUCAGCUUGUUGGUGGGGUGAUGGCCUACCAAGGCGACGACGGGCAGCCGGCCUGAGAGGGUGACCGGCCACACUGGGACUGAGAUACGGCCCAGACUCCUACGGGAGGUAGCAGUGGGGAAUAUUGCACAAUGGGCGCAAGCCUGAUGCAGCGACGCCGCGUGAGGGAUGACGGCCUUCGGGUUGUAAACCUCUUUCAGCACCGACGAAGCGCAAGUGACGGUAGGUGCAGAAGAAGGACCGGCCAACUACGUGCCAGCAGCCGCCGUAA
rnacentral:rRNA from 1 species